rnacentral:rRNA from 1 species
CCUACGGGGGGCAGCAGUGAGGAAUAUUGGUCAAUGGGCGCGAGCCUGAACCAGCCAAGUAGCGUGAAGGAUGAAUGCCCUACGGGUUGUAAACCUCUUUUAUAAAGGAAUAAAGUGAGGGACGCGUCCCUUUUUGUAUGUACCUUAUGAAUAAGGAUCGGCUAACUCCGUGCCAGCAGCCGCGGUAAUACGGAGGAUCCGAGCGUUAUCCGGAUUUAUUGGGUUUAAAGGGAGCGUAGAUGGGUUGUUAAGUCAGUUGUUAAAGUUUGCGGCUCAACCGUAAAAUUGCAAUUGAAACGGGCAGUCUUGAGUACAGUUGAGGUAGGCGGAAUGCGUGGUGUAGCGGUGAAAUGCUUAGAUAUCGCGAAGAACUCCGAUUGCGAAGGCAGCUUACUAAACUGCCACUGACAUUGAUGCUCGAAAGUGUGGGUAUCAAACAGGAUUAGAGACCCUAGUAGUC